AGUGAACGCUGGCGGUAGGCCUAACACAUGCAAGUCGAACGGCAGCACAGUAAGAGCUUGCUCUUACGGGUGGCGAGUGGCGGACGGGUGAGGAAUACAUCGGAAUCUACUUUUUCGUGGGGGAUAACGUAGGGAAACUUACGCUAAUACCGCAUACGACCUACGGGUGAAAGCAGGGGAUCUUCGGACCUUGCGCGAUUGAAUGAGCCGAUGUCGGAGUAGCUAGUUGGCGGGGUAAAGGCCCACCAAGGCGACGAUCCGUGGCUGGUCUGAGCGGAUGAUCAGCCACACUGGAACUGAGACACGGUCCAGACUCCUACGGGAGGCAGCAGUGGGGAAUAUUGGACAAUGGGCGCAAGCCUGAUCCAGCCAUACCGCGUGGGUGAAGAAGGCCUUCGGGUUGUAAAGCCCUUUUGUUGGGAAAGAAAAGCAGCAGGUUAAUACCCCGCUGUUCUGACGGUACCCAAAGAAUAAGCACCGGCUAACUUCGUG
rnacentral:rRNA from 1 species